UACAGAGGGGGCAAGCGUUGUUCGGAAUUACUGGGCGUAAAGGGCGCGUAGGCGGCCUGUUAAGUCGAACGUGAAAUCCCCGGGCUCAACCCGGGAACUGCGUCCGAUACUGGCAGGCUUGAAUCCGGGAGAGGGAUGCGGAAUUCCAGGUGUAGCGGUGAAAUGCGUAGAUAUCUGGAGGAACACCGGUGGCGAAGGCGGCAUCCUGGACCGGCAUUGACGCUGAGGCGCGAAAGCCAGGGGGAGCAAACAGG
rnacentral:rRNA from 1 species